CGAGGACGAACGCUGGCGGCGUGCCUAACACAUGCAAGUCGAACGAGGUAUUUUGAUUGAAGUUUCGGAUGGAUUUCAAGAUACCGAGUGGCGGACGGGUGAGUAACGCGUGGGUAACCUGCCUCAUACAGGGGGAUAACGGUUAGAAAUGACUGCUAAUACCGCAUAAGCGCACAGUACCGCAUGGUACGGUGUGAAAAACUCCGGUGGUAUGAGAUAGACCCGCGUCUGAUUAGCUAGUUGGUGAGGUAACGGCCCACCAAGGCGACGAUCAGUAGCCGACCUGAGAGGGUGACCGGCCACAUUGGGACUGAGACACGGCCCAGACUCCUACGGGAGGCAGCAGUGGGGGAUAUUGCACAAUGGAGGAAACUCUGAUGCAGCGACGCCGCGUGAGUGAAGAAGUAUUUCGGUAUGUAAAGCUCUAUCAGCAGGGAAGAAAAUGACGGUACCUGACUAAGAAGCCCCGGCUAACUACGUG
rnacentral:rRNA from 1 species